rnacentral:piRNA from 1 species
GAGCAACCUAAAGUUCAAGUGACCUCUCU